AGAGUUAAGUGUCCAAGGGUUGU
rnacentral:piRNA from 1 species